GGCUGGGCUUCUGCAGCCAACCGGGACUGGCCCGGUCGCGGUGUCAGUCGGAGGUGGCGGCGUCUCACCGCCGUCCCGGCUGGUGGGGCGGGGGAGAGUGGUCCUGCGGUGGGAAACGCUCGCAUCCCACAGCUGAGGACGAUCUCAGGGAUGCGGCGUCUGCAAGGGGCUCACAGCAACAGCCAGCUCCGUGCUUGUCUGGAUGCUCUGGUGGUAAACCAUUGGAUAUUUCUGCCACUGCUGUUCAAUUUGCAUCACACCUUCUCCUGCCAGACUUUCUGCAGCCUUAAAAGACCCAUUGAACUUGAGCUCAUGGCUAGCUCUUUCUGUACUUAAAGAAGAGAGAAGUGUCUGUAUUCCCACCUAAUUUGGAGUGCAAAGAGCCUUACUCAUAUUAUUUAAUGGGGACGUUCAGCAAGAGGAAAUGAGAAUGGAGCCCUCCUCCAAUCCCAUCUAAAUCCCAGGCAAAUAUGCAAUCAGGCUUUGUGCUAACUCUGUCUUGUCCAGUGGCAGGAGACGUGGACAGGAAUCUUUUGGGGAUUGGCAGCCCGGGCUGCCCCAUUCUGGUUUUGUGCCCUUCAUCAAAGCAGUGAAGGUGAAACAGCAACUUCAUCCAGGCACUGAAUCUGUGCAAGGUCAGUGGGAGAGCCUCAUGUAGCAGCUGGAAGUCCUGACUCCACAGCAAAUGCUUUAGCUGUGCCAUCCUAUCCCCACCUGAUACUGCUUGUUGAUAUUUAUGUAAUAAAGGUUUUAAUGGUGCAGCUCUGCUGCAGGCCUGGGGUAGGAGCAGCAAGAAGGGUGCUGGGAAGGGCGAGCCCAAGGCUCCCUGGCUGUGACUUCCAGCAGGAAAAUCCCUUGGGUGGGAUUUUCUUCCUUUCCCUGUUAAUUGUUAGUUCUGAGAGGAGUCUGUUUUCUCACCAGAAAUCAGCUCACCACUUACUGUGAGCCAGGGAACACCCAAAUAAACCUCUGCCAGUGCUGAUGCUGACUGAAGCACCUGGUGAAAGCUGACUUCCUCAAAGCCUUGUAUAAAGUAGGACCCAACACAAUGUCCCCAGAGAGGAAUGAGCCAGAAGGGCUAAACUUUUACAAACAGAAAACAUUAAAGAACCAGUGCCUGGAAGGAUCUUUGGGCCCUGCAGUAAGAAGGGCUCCAUUGCAACAGAAAAUUAGUAGGCAGACUACUGACCUGCAGAAAAAAAAGUUAAUGGAGCAUCAAUUAAGCCGCGAUUGGUCAUGUAAUUAGGUUUACAAGUAUCUAGGCUGCUCAGAGAACACUCAGAAAUUCUCUUGCAUAUGACAGGCCCAAGCUGUUUCUCUAACUGCAACACCUAUGGUUAAACUCAAUGAACUUGGAGGUCUUUUCCAACCUUAAUGAUUCUAGGAAUCCCGAAUAUAUGUCACCAUCCUUCUCUCGUGUUCAUACAGCUAACCGCAAAGGAAAAGCUGCACUGGUAGUGUUUCCCUCAGUCCUCCUUCUCCAAGCAACUUCUGAGGCUCAGAUGAGCUACCUCUUGAGGGGUUUUGCUGUGAGUUCACUCAUCUUCUACAGAGGGUAAUUUCUUCAGGGCAGAUGGAAUGUCUUCUCUGACUAUGUAGAUUUAUGGCGUUCCAUCAACAUAAUAAUAUAGGGAUUAUGAAAUGGAACAACUUAAGUGGAAGUCACUGGACAGGUGGCUUGGCUUUAGUAGUUAGCUUGUAAGUAUUUCAAAGCUUUGGCAGGUGUCAAUGAUGCUGUAUGUACCAUAUGUUAUUUAUGUGGCUUUAUGGCCAAGAAUGAGAGCAAGAGCUUUCAGAGAAAUGUGAUCUCGCUGACUCAGUCAAUGGUAGAUGCACAUCCAGUAUCAUAGGAUACAAAUGAUGAGCUAUUUUUGUUAAGCUUAGUACUGCUCUGAACUGUGGUUUCUGAACUGUGUCUUUUCAUCCCAAAGCAUUCUGCCAUUCAUUGCACUUGUCCUUCCUUUUUCUCUCUCCACUUACUGAAAAGGGACAGAGACAAGAUGCCAUUUCAGUUAUCACUUUAAUUUUAAGAUGAUUUAGUGCUGUCAGAAGGGGGUAUGGCAGAUCUCAAGUGAGUAUUUUAUGUCCAAGAGGAAGAUACAGUGCAGGGAGCAGGACAGAUAUUUCCUAGAAUCACAGAAUAUGCUGAGUUGGAAGGGACCCACAAGAAUUACUGAGUCCAGCUUCUGGGCCUGCACAGGACACCACAGGAAUUACACCAUGUGCCUGAGAGCAUUGGCA